UUGCGUAACGGGCGACGUAACAGUCCAGGCAUCAGUCUAUUGUCUUUCACUUACCGCCAUCGUUUUCUUCACCAGGAAACAACCCUCGCUUACGAUCCUUUGUCCGCUGCUCCAACGAGCACCUCCAGGCAGAAGGCGAAUCGAGCCCCGUUUCUGGCUCGCUGUUAACCCGUUAAGUCGUUAAAUAAUCAGUCAACAACACGCAAGGAACCAGAUCACAGUCGACGUUACACAAGUCAACGUACGAGUUGAUAGUUGCAUUCUCUUCCAGUUGU